rnacentral:rRNA from 1 species
UCCUACGGGAGGCAGCAGUGGGGAAUAUUGCGCAAUGGGGGGAACCCUGACGCAGCCAUGCCGCGUGAAUGAAGGAGGCCUUCGGGUUGUAAAGUUCUUUCGGUAAUGAGGAAGGGAUGUUAUUAAAUAGAUAGCAUCAUUGACGUUAAUUACAGAAGAAGCACCGGCUAACUCCGUGCCAGCAGCCGCGGUAAUACGGAGGGUGCGAGCGUUAAUCGGAAUAACUGGGCGUAAAGGGCACGCAGGCGGACUUUUAAGUGAGAUGUGAAAUCCCCGAGCUUAACUUGGGAACUGCAUUUCAGACUGGGAGUCUAGAGUACUUUAGGGAGGGGUAGAAUUCCACGUGUAGCGGUGAAAUGCGUAGAGAUGUGGAGGAAUACCGAAGGCGAAGGCAGCCCCUUGGGAAUGUACUGACGCUCAUGUGCGAAAGCGUGGGGAGCAAACAGGAUUAGAUACCCUGGUAGUCC